AGUCUGCAUCUGCACAGAGCCAGAAAUUACAGUAGAAAUGAAACAUUUUCUAUCUGGUUUAUUCUAUUCCCGUUGUUUGUUUUGUGAGGGUUUUUGUUUUUUGGGUGGCUGUUUCUUUCUUUCUUUCUUUCUUUCUUUCUUUCUUUCUUUCUUUCUUUCUUUCUUUCUUUCUUUCUUUCUUUCUUUCUUUUUUUUUUGCCUCUCAGACUGGCAGACCCUCAAAUGCCGGGAAGACACUGAAAUCAGUUGUUUAUGAAGGAGAAAAUAAAAGUCUUCCUACUCGAUUAAAAUAUGGCUGCAUUCCAUAGCCUCUCAUCUAGAUCUCUUUAGCUGAAACACUGCUGGAAGGUUCGAAAACCAAAAUGAGAACAUAAAAAAGAAUGGAAGAGAAUAUAAUAUUAUUUGCAGCUCCAAACCAAUAAAGAUCCCGUCUUCUUCACAAAACCACCUACUAAGACAUCACAGAAUCAUGGAAUCACAGAAUUGUAGGGGCUGGAAGAGAACUAUGGAGAUCAUUGAGUUCAACCAACUGCUAAAGCAUUUCCAUACAGCGGGUUGCACAGACUGAACAGUCCCAGGUCUCUCAGCCUUUCCUUAUAAGGAAAAUGCUCCAGGCCCGUAAUCAUCUUCGUAGUCUUUCACUGGACUCUUUGUAGGAGAUCCCUGUGGUUUUUGAACUGGGGAGGCCAGAAUUGGACACAGUGUUCCAGAAGUGACCACUCCAGGGCAGCAUAGAGGAGGAGCAUCACCUCCCUAGACCUGCUGGCCACCUCAGGAUACCACUGGCCUUCUGGGCCACAAAGACACACUGCUGGGUCAUGGCCAACCCGUUGUUCACCAGGACCCCCAGGUCCUUCUCCACGGAGCUCCUCCCGACAGGUCACUGAUGAAGAUGUUGAACAAGACUGGACCCAGCACUGACCCCUGGGGAACAUCACUAGUUACAGGCCUCCAACCAGACUGCGCUGCUGAUCACAACCCUCUGAACUCUGCCAGUCAGACAGUUCUCAAUCCACAUCACUGUCCACUCAUCUAUCCCACACUUUCUCAGCUUCAUUACAAGGAUACUGUGGGAAACAGUGUCAAACACCUUGCUGAAGGCAAGGCACUCUAUAUCCACUGCUAUCCCUCCAUCGACUCAGCUGGUGAUGGCAUCAUAGAAGGCUACACGGUUGGUAAUCAUUGAAUCAUUACAGUUGGAAAAGACUCCUAAGAUCGUCUAGUCCAACCACACAGCUUAAAGCUACCAGGCUACUUACCCAACUUACUUCUUCAUGCCAGCAGCAGCUCACCAGUGGGUCUAGCAAACAAUGGAACCUACAGGCAGUGUGCUCACAUCAGGCUUCUCACCCCCACCAUAAGAAUAGCUGGCUCAUUCUUUGGAAGAAAAGAUGGCUAGAUCAGAAUCUAAUGGGAAGAGUUUUAAGUAUUAGUUUCUUAAAUUUCAGCAAAAAUAGAGAUUUUUGGUUUUGUUUGUUUCUUUGUUUUUUCCUGAACUGCCCAUUCAAGAAACUCUAGAAGGGAGUAUUGUAUCACUUAUCUUUCCUCCUAUUUGUUACUAAGCCUGUAACUCCAAUGAUGCUCGUAGCUCUAGGAAGGGCAAUUCAGGUUUUCACACUGUAAUCAGGAAGUGAUCCUUAGCACAGAGAGAAAAAAAAUGGUCCUCAGAAAUGUACACUACUAUCAGCAGUAACUUGAAAAAAAAAACCUCAUCUUCUAAUCAUGACUCCAUAUGCAACUAUUUGUAAGGACUUAGGCAAAUCUCUCUGCCUCAAAAUCCCCACCUGCAGCUCAUUACAGGAGUUAACUAUCUGGAAGGUGGACAGAGAAAAAUAAUAGAGGAGCAAAAACCUGAGUUUCUCCUCACUCAUUUUAUACAUUUAUAAAUGUACUGUUCUGAUUUCUACUACUGCCAGUGAAAGAAGAAGGAGUGGUACUUUGCAGAGUUACAUCAAAGCAAAACGUUGUAUUUGGCUUUUAGUUGAUAGCUGUUUUAGAAAUGCCUGAACUAGAGAGUCAAUGCCAAAUGCUACAUUUCUCAAAUUCUGCAAUAUUCCUCCUUAAUUACUAUAAGAUUCAUACAGAGAAAAUAGCACACAAUCAAAGUAAGGUUGUUAUUAAUACUUUUGACCAAAACAAUAUGAUUUGCCAUUCUAUUUUUUAAAAGUUUGGAAGCUGUUUUUACUUUGCUUUCUGUUGAAGGAGUUCUGUAAGCGAAGUACUGUUUACACAUUUGCCACAGUUCCUGAGGUUUAAACAUGGGCCAUAUUAGUAAUAACAAUCAAGGUGCAGUGAAUUUCCUGAGGAUUAAUGACUGGCUAGGAGGAGAUGAAGGUCAGCAGCACAGCCAAGGAUCAUUAACCCAAGCUGGUCAUUAAUCUCUAAAAUAUACCUCAUGCCAAGGUCAGUAUUGUUAUUUUAAGCUGCAAAUGAAAAAAACAUGGCCAUAUGGACUUUUAUUUAAUAGUUUUAACUGCAACGUCUAGCAUAUUUUAGAAAAAUUAAUUAUAUCCAGGAGAAUUAUAUUAGCUAAUCAGACUGCCAUCCCAUCCUUCAAUAUUUGAUUAGUCUUGCUUUAUUUAACAUAUAUACUGGACUAUGACAGGCAGUCAGGAUUUAUGACAUUUUUUCCUUGUACCGUGGUUGUAGACCUAUUAGAUAGUGAGCUUGUUUGUGUAUCUAUUCCUAAAUUUUGAUUUCCAUCCCAAAUUUUAUCUCCUAGAUCUUAUUAAUAUCUGUCAUAAAAUACUUGUUUGAUUGAACAUCUGUUUAUUAGAGUUUUGAAAGUGAUGUUUCCAAAAACCAUUUUAAAGUGAGGUUAUUAUAGAGGGUGUCAGUAAUUUAGGGAACACUUACUUCAAGAUGUGUAGUACUCUCUUUAAUGAAAAAUGUAAUGGCAAUUUUUAUUUCUAUUAUUCACGUUUGUAUUUAUGGUAGUCUAACAUUUAAAUUAACACAGCCAUGAUUCAUUUUUGUAGAGCCUCAUCCAAUUUUUAUGCCUGUACACAUCUGGUGGGCUUCAAAGACUUUAAAUUCUCCCUGGUUGGGAAGGAUGCAGCCAUCAGCUCUGAUGAUGUACUCAGUGGCAUGCUUCAAGAGGGCAGACUUCCCCAGGCUUUCUGGAAAUAACUCUCCAAAAAGCAAAUACUGCCAAUCUCUGUCUCCAGGCUCCAUAGAUACCCUCAGAGACUGAAAGUCCACAAAAUCUGCUAUCCUGACACAUUCCAAUUUACUACUGGGGUAGGUGAGAGUUGAAGAAAGCAGGGAAAGACUCAGAUACAAAAAUAUUUUGGUCUUUCUAAAGCAAAUAACUUUUUCCCUGUUUCAAAAUCAAGCUUUCCCUGUGUUUUAAAAUGUUUCCUAAUGCUAGAACUUUUGUCCCAUGAGCACCUUUUCAACUUUUCAACCUUUACAGUUUUAAGUCCUCGCUCUUAUUUCCCUCUUUUCUUCUGAAAGAAUCAAAAUGGACCUUUUGAGUUCUGUUCCCCCAGUUUACAAGAAAAAAUGCAAUAGAUGCAGAUCUUCGGAGCUUUGACUCAAUUCAGAAUAGACCACAAAAUGCUUUCCAACAUUUCUUACAAAUGUUAACUCAGCAAUGAAAGACAAAAGUCUAUGUGUAAUGUGCUACACAAAGAUAGCAGGAAUGACAAGGAUCAGUUGCAACCAUUUUUCUUGCUUGGCCAGAUCCUGUUUCCAGAUGAGGUCAAUGAGCAGUGCUUUAGAGCAUGGCUCACCAACCAGGCACCUUGAAGAUUUUAAUACAAUUCUAAAUCACCUCAUUUAUUCAUACUGACAUAUGUUAUGUCUCUACUUGUAACAUAUUUUUAACAUUUCCUUUAAAAUAUAUUAACAGGUGUGCAUGUAAAAAAAAAAAAAAUGGACAGCUUAAGGAGAUUGUUGUUGCUGGAUGAAGCCUCAGUUUGAGUGUAGUCCAAUGAAAAUGUUAACUAUGUAGCCUUACAAGCCAAAAAAUAAAAUAAAAAAAUAAAAAAUACCCAAAUCUCUCAUUCUGGUUGCAGAUCAGGCCACUCAAACAGAAAGAAGCUAAUCUGCAGGCUCCUUUCCACAAAAUGUUUAGUUUUUAUUUUAUGACAUGCUUUUUUGUAUAUUCUCCAUUUAUGUUUCCUUUAACAAUCCAGGGAAUGUAUUUAAAUAAAUGUAAAGUUAAAUAAAAACCUGAAAAACCCAUGAAAUAUAGGAUCAUGUCAUAAUUUAUGAAGUGCUAGCAGAUGUUUGUUGCUAGAGAAAGUUGCUGCAAAUGUGGAGACCCAUCCACCGUCCUUAGCGCUGAGUUAGAAUAUUUUGGUGGCAAUAUUGUAUUGACUGUCUCGUACUACGAUGAAUUCUUUCAGUGUGGG
ensembl:lncRNA